rnacentral:rRNA from 1 species
AACGACUCUCGGCAACGGAUAUCUCGGCUCUCGCAUCGAUGAAGAACGUAGCGAAAUGCGAUACUUGGUGUGAAUUGCAGAAUCCCGUGAACCAUCGAGUCUUUGAACGCAAGUUGCGCCCCAAGCCAUUAGGCCGAGGGCACGCCUGCCUGGGUGUCACG